AACAGGAUUAGAUACCCUGGUAGUCACGCCCGUAAACGAUGAUCACUAGACGUUAAUCCCGCUUGCGGGAUUAGUGUCGUAGCUAACGCGUUAAGUGAUCCCGCCUGGGGAGUACGGUCGCAAGAUUAAAACUCAAAGAAAUUGACGGGGGUCCGCACAAGCGGUGGAACAUGUGGUUUAAUUCGACACUACGCGAGGAACCUUACCUAGGCUUGACAUGCACAUGACCGCCAUAGAAACAUGGCUUUCAAGGCGUAAGCCUUGACGCGUGCACAGGUGCUGCAUGGCUGUCGUCAGCUCGUGUCGUGAGAUGUUGGGUUAAGUCCUUUAACGAGCGCAACUCCUAUCGUCAGUUGCAACCCCGUGAGGGGGCACUCUGAUGAAACUGCCUGGGAAACCAGGAGGAAGGUGGGAAUGACGUCAAGUCCUCAUGGCCCUUAUGCCUAGGGCAACACACGUGUUACAAUGGCCGGUACAAAGGGUUGCAAUUCUGCAAAGAGGAGCCAAUCUCAAAAAGCCGGUCUAAGUUCGGAUUGAGGUCUGCAACUCGACCUCAUGAAGUUGAAAUCGCUAGUAAUCGCGUAUCAGAACGACGCGGUGAAUACGUUCUCGGACCUUGUACACACCGCCCGUCACGCCACGAAAGUUGUUUGUACCCGAAAUCGUUUUAGCUGACCUUUACAGGGGGCGGACGCUGAAGGUAUGGGGAAUGAUUGGGGUGAAGUCGUAACAAGGUAACC
rnacentral:rRNA from 1 species